UGGGGAAUAUUGCACAAUGGGGGAAACCCUGAUGCAGCGACGCCGCGUGAACGAAGAAGGUAUUCGUAUCGUAAAGUUCUGUCCUAUGGGAAGAUAAUGACAGUACCAUAGAAGAAAGCUCCGGCUAAAUACGUGCCAGCAGCCGCGGUAAUACGUAUGGAGCGAGCGUUGUCCGGAAUUAUUGGGCGUAAAGGGUACGCAGGCGGUUUAAUAAGUCGAAUGUUAAAGAUCGGGGCUCAACCCCGCAAAGCAUUGGAAACUGGUAAACUUGAGUAGUGGAGAGGAAAGUGGAAUUCCUAGUGUAGUGGUGAAAUACGUAGAUAUUAGGAGGAAUACCAGUAGCGAAGGCGACUUUCUGGACACAAACUGACGCUGAGGUACGAAAGCGUGGGGAGCAAACAGG
rnacentral:rRNA from 1 species